CGGACGGGUGAGUAACGCGUGAGAAUCUGCCUUAAGGACUGGGACAACAGCUGGAAACGGCUGCUAAUACCAGAUAUGCCAAUAAGUGAAACGGGUAAAACCGCCUUUUGAUGAGCUCGCGUCUGAUUAGCUAGUUGGUGGGGUAAAAGCCUACCAAGGCAUCGAUCAGUAACUGGUCUGAGAGGAUGAUCAGUCACACUGGGACUGAGACACGGCCCAGACUCCUACGGGAGGCAGCAGUGGGGAAUUUUCCGCAAUGGGCGAAAGCCUGACGGAGCAAUACCGCGUGAGGGAGGAAGGCUCUUGGGUUGUAAACCUCUUCUCUCAGGGAAGAACAAAAUGACGGUACCUGAGGAAUAGGCAUCGGCUAACUCCGUGCCAGCAGCCGCGGUAAUACGGAGGAUGCAAGCGUUAUCCGGAAUGAUUGGGCGUAAAGCGUCCGCAGGUGGCUUUGCAAGUCUGCUGUCAAAGCUCAGGGCUUAACCCUGAAUCGGCGGUGGAAACUGAAAAGCUAGAGUGCGGUAGGGGUAGAGGGAAUUCCCAGUGUAGCGGUGAAAUGCGUAAAGAUUGGGAAGAACAUCGGUGGCGAAAGCGCUCUACUGGACUGCAACUGACACUUCAUGGACGAAAAGCUACGGGAGCGAAUGGGAUUAGAUACCCCAGUAGUC
rnacentral:rRNA from 1 species